rnacentral:rRNA from 1 species
CCUACGGGGGGCAGCAGUGGGGAAUAUUGGACAAUGGGCGCAAGCCUGAUCCAGCCAUGCCGCGUGAGUGAUGAAGGCCCUAGGGUUGUAAAGCUCUUUCACCGAUGAAGAUAAUGACGGUAGUCGGAGAAGAAGCCCCGGCUAACUUCGUGCCAGCAGCCGCGGUAAUACGAAGGGGGCUAGCGUUGUUCGGAAUUACUGGGCGUAAAGCGCACGUAGGCGGAUAUUUAAGUCAGGGGUGAAAUCCCAGAGCUCAACUCUGGAACUGCCUUUGAUACUGGGUAUCUCGAGUAUGGAAGAGGUGAGUGGAAUUCCGAGUGUAGAGGUGAAAUUCGUAGAUAUUCGGAGGAACACCAGUGGCGAAGGCGGCUCACUGGUCCAUUACUGACGCUGAGGUGCGAAAGCGUGGGGAGCAAACAGGAUUAGAUACCCCUGUAGUC